rnacentral:rRNA from 1 species
UACGUAGGGGGCAAGCGUUGUCCGGAUUUAUUGGGCGUAAAGAGCGUGUAGGCGGCCAGAUAGGUCCGUUGUGAAAACUCGAGGCUCAACCUCGAGACGCCGAUGGAAACCAUUUGGCUAGAGUCCGGAAGAGGAGAGUGGAAUUCCUGGUGUAGCGGUGAAAUGCGCAGAUAUCAGGAAGAACGCCCGUGGCUAAGGCGGCUCUCUAGUACGGUACUGACGCUGAGACGCGAAAGCGUGGGGAGCGAACAGG